rnacentral:misc_RNA from 1 species
UGAGAACUUCGAUGAGAAGGUUAGCAGUGAUGGAGGAACAGAAUAUGAUACCUUUAGACCAAUUAGAGGAGAGGCCAGUAUAGUGAUCGGAGUGAAAAUGGGAGAGGAAGUAAGAAACGGAGAAAUCAGCGGCAUAUUUGAAACCGUCGAUGAUAAAGCGAGUUCUUGGGAUGAGUUUUGGUUGGGGGAUAGAAGAAGGGAUUGGAGGGAGAGGAAGGGACAAUGGGAUUGAAUUUGAUGAGGAUUUAUCAGAGAGGGAGUUGAGAGCGGUUAUGUACAGAGUGGUUGAGUCUAGGGUUAGGGUUCCGGCGUCGGCGGACAUGGCCGCAGGGCGAAAACGAUAGUUACAGUGGUAAUUGUACGACUAGACGGAGCAUGAUCGAAACGAGUUUUACUACUUGGAAUGGCG